rnacentral:rRNA from 1 species
ACUCCUACGGGAGGCAGCAGUGGGGAAUAUUGCACAAUGGGCGCAAGCCUGAUGCAGCCAUGCCGCGUGUAUGAAGAAGGCCUUCGGGUUGUAAAGUACUUUCAGCAGUGAGGAAGGUGGAUAUGUUAAUAGCAUAUUCAUUUGACGUUAGCUGCAGAAGAAGCACCGGCUAACUCCGUGCCAGCAGCCGCGGUAAUACGGAGGGUGCGAGCGUUAAUCGGAAUUACUGGGCGUAAAGCGCAUGCAGGUGGUUUGUUAAGUCAGAUGUGAAAGCCCGGGGCUCAACCUCGGAAUUGCAUUUGAAACUGGCAAACUAGAGUACUGUAGAGGGGGGUAGAAUUUCAGGUGUAGCGGUGAAAUGCGUAGAGAUCUGAAGGAUACCGGUGGCGAAGGCGGCCCCCUGGACAGAUACUGACACUCAGAUGCGAAAGCGUGGGGAGCAAACAGGAUUAGAUACCCUGGUAGGAUCUGC